rnacentral:rRNA from 1 species
GGGUUAGUAGGUUGGUCAUGCCUCUGGUAUGUACUGGUCUCACUGAUUCCUCCUUCCUGAUGAACCAUAAUGUCAUUUAUUUGAUGUUGUGGGGAAUUAGGACUGUUACCUUGAAAAAAUUAGAGUGUUUAAAGCAAGCUAACGCUUGAAUACAUUAGCAUGGAAUAAUGAAAUAGGACGUUCGAUCCUAUUUUGUUGGUUUCUAGGAUUGACGUA